rnacentral:rRNA from 1 species
AUUGAACGCUGGCGGCAUGCCUUACACAUGCAAGUCGAACGGUAACAGGUCUUCGGAUGCUGACGAGUGGCGAACGGGUGAGUAAUACAUCGGAACGUGCCUAGUAGUGGGGGAUAACUACUCGAAAGAGUGGCUAAUACCGCAUGAGAUCUACGGAUGAAAGCAGGGGAUCGCAAGACCUUGUGCUACUAGAGCGGCCGAUGGCAGAUUAGGUAGUUGGUGGGAUAAAAGCUUACCAAGCCGACGAUCUGUAGCUGGUCUGAGAGGACGAUCAGCCCACAUGGGCCUGAGACACGGCCCAGACUCCUACGGGAGGCAGCAGUGGGGAAUUUUGGACAAUGGGCGAAAGCCUGAUCCAGCAAUGCCAAGUGCAGGAUGAAGGCCUUCGGGUUGUAAACUGCUUUUGUACGGAACGAAAAGCCCCGGGUUAAUACCCUGGGGUCAUGACGGUACCGUAAGAAUAAGCACCGGCUAACUACGUGCAAGCCGCCGCAGUAA